CCUACGGGAGGCAGCAGUGAGGAAUCUUUGUCAAUGGACGAGAGUCUGAACCAGCCAAGUAGCGUGAAGGAUGACUGCCCUAUGGGUUGUAAACUUCUUUUAUAAAGGAAUAAAACAAGACACGUGUACCUUUUUGUAUGUACUUUAUGAAUAAUGAUCGGCUAACUCCGUGCCAGCAGCCGCGGUAAUACGGAGGAUACGAGCGUUAUCCGGAAUUAUUGGUUUUAAAGGGAGCGUAGAUGGGUUGUUAAGUCAGUUGUGAAAGGUUGCGGCUCAACCGUAAAAUUGCAAUUUAAACUGGCAGUCUUGAGUACAGUUGAGGUAGGCGGAAUUCGUGGUGUAGCGGUGAAAUGCUUAGAUAUCACGAAGAACUCCGAUUGCGAAGGCAGCUUACUAAACUGCAACUGACAUUGAGGCUCGAAAGUGUGGGUAGCAAACAGGAUUAGAUACCCGGGUAGUC
rnacentral:rRNA from 1 species